rnacentral:rRNA from 1 species
AGUUAGUUGGUGGGGUAAAGGCCUACCAAGACUANGAUGUGUAGCCGGGCUGAGAGGUUGAACGGCCACAUUGGGACUGAGACACGGCCCAAACUCCUACGGGAGGCAGCAGUAGGGAAUUUUCGGCAAUGGAGGAAACUCUGACCGAGCAACGCCGCGUGAACGAUGAAGUAUUUCGGUAUGUAAAGUUCUUUUAUUAGGGAAGAAUAAAUGAUGGAAAAAUCAUUCUGACUGUACCUAAUGAAUAAGCCCCGGCUAACUAUGUGCCAGCAGCCGCGGUAAUACAUAGGGGGCAAGCGUUAUCCGGAAUUAUUGGGCGUAAAGGGUGCGUAGGCGGUUAAAUAAGUUUAUGGUCUAAGUGCAAUGCUCAACAUUGUGAUGCUAUAAAAACUGUUUAGCUAGAGUAAGAUAGAGGCAAGUGGAAUUCCAUGUGUAGUGGUAAAAUGCGUAAAUAUAUGGAGGAACACCAGUAGCGAAGGCGGCUUGCUGGGUCUUUACUGACGCUGAGGCACGAAAGCGUGGGGAGCAAACAGGAUUAGAUACCCUGGUAGUCCACGCUGUAAACGAUGAGUACUAAACGUUGGGUAAAACCAGUGUUGAAGUUAACACAUUAAGUACUCCGCCUGAGUAGUACGUACGCAAGUAUGAAACUUAAAGGAAUUGACGGGACUCCGCACAAGCGGUGGAUCAUGUUGUUUAAUUCGAAGGUACCCGAAAAACCUCACCAGGUCUUGACAUGCUUCUGCAAAGUUGUAGAAAUACAGUGGAGGUUAUCAGUUGCACAGGUGGUGCAUGGUUGUCGUCAGCUCGUGUCGUGAGAUGUUGGGUUAAGUCCCGCAACGAGCGCAACCCUUAUUGUUAGUUACCAGCACGUAAUGGUGGGGACUUUAGCAAGACUGCCAGUGAUAAAUUGGAGGAAGGUGGGGACGACGUCAAAUCAUCAUGCCCCUUAUGACCUGGGCUACAAACGUGAUACAAUGGCUGUUACAAAGGGUAGCUGAAACGCAAGUUUUUGGCGAAUCUCAAAAAA